rnacentral:rRNA from 1 species
AUGACCACUAAUCAGCCUAACAAAUGGAUGUCCUGGCUAUCUCUUGCGGAAUACUGGUAUAAUACCACAUACCACACAUCCCUCAAAAUGUCCCCUUUCCAAGCCAUGUAUGGCUUUCCGCCUCCUCUCAUCAGUGAAUUGGCAAUACCUGGACCAGAAGACUUGGAAGCAAGGGAUUUCUUGGAAUCUAAACAAGCAACUCUGGACCAGCUGAAAUACAACUUGACACAAGCUCAAGAACGCAUGAAAAGGUAUGCUGACUUGAAAAUAUCAGAAAGGGAGUUCCAAGUAGGAGAUAUGGUCUACUUGAAGAUGGCACCCUACAGGCUUGCAGCAUUUGGGUUCCGAGGUGCUCUCAAGUUACAGCACAAGUAUUAUGGCCCCUUCAUGAUCACACAGAGAAUUGGCAAGGUAGCAUACAAACUCCAAUUCCCAGAGCAUAUCAAGAUACAUCCUGUGUUUCAUGUCGCCAGCUGA